rnacentral:rRNA from 1 species
AGCCGCGGUAAUACGUAGGUGGCAAGCGUUGUCCGGAUUUAUUGGGCGUAAAGCGAGCGCAGGCGGUUCUUUAAGUCUGAUGUGAAAGCCCCCGGCUCAACCGGGGAGGGUCAUUGGAAACUGGAGAACUUGAGUGCAGAAGAGGAGAGUGGAAUUCCAUGUGUAGCGGUGAAAUGCGUAGAUAUAUGGAGGAACACCAGUGGCGAAGGCGAGCACCUGGACUGAUACUGACACUGAGGGUCG